GCAAGAGGGCAUAGAGAGAAAUGUCCAAGUACAGUACCUUGGGGAACAUUUAAUCUAGGGGAUGAGGGGAAGAAAUGGAGUCCCGGAGGAUGUUACAGAAAUGAAAGGAGAAGAAAGCAUGAAGAAACUAAAAGAAUUUCAUUAGUAUCAUAUGCCUUGGAGCUGUCAAGAAAGAAAAACAAACAAAAAAGAUUACUAAAUUUUGAGACUAAGAUUACUGUUCUUGAAAGGAACUGCUUCAUCAGAGAGGUCUGGUCCUCAGGCUGUGAGUGAUGUGCCUUAGGGGCAGGAGGAAAGUCAAGUCCUCCUGGGCCUUGGAUGACUCUCUUGCAAGAAGACAUUCUGUGAAUACAUUCUUGAGACUGGAAGCAGCAACCAGAAUAACUAGAUGAUUACUAUUCUCUUCAUGUGGUCAAAGCAUUUAUAGUAUUCGCUUAAUAAAACUCAUGAAAUCUC
rnacentral:antisense_RNA from 1 species